rnacentral:lncRNA from 1 species
UGUACAGUUAACGGUCAAAUUAGUCAGUAACUAACUGAAUUUAAGAAUAAAUGAUUUAAUUAUUAAACUCUAAAAAAAAAGUUGGAUGCUGAAUCUGAUAUGUCGAGUCCUUAUACCUAUGGUAUAUGACAGCCCAAUCCUUGAUACUGAUGUUGUCAUAUGGCCACUGCCAUAUUGCCUCCACCCCCUGAUCCUAUAC